GGUUCCAUGUGUAAUGGUGAGCACUCUGGACUCUGAAUCCAGCGAUCUGAGUUCAAGUCUUGGUGGGACCU
rfam:Cricetulus griseus cell line CHO-K1, whole genome shotgun sequence.